CCUACGGGUGGCAGCAGUGGGGAAUAUUGGACAAUGGGCGAAAGCCUGAUCCAGCCAUGCCGCGUGUGUGAAGAAGGCCUUCGGGUUGUAAAGCACUUUCAGUGGGGAAGAAAGCCUUGGGGCUAAUACCCUCGAGGAAGGACAUCACCCACAGAAGAAGCACCGGCUAACUCCGUGCCAGCAGCCGCGGUAAUACGGAGGGUGCGAGCGUUAAUCGGAAUUACUGGGCGUAAAGCGCGCGUAGGCGGUCUGAUAAGCCGGUUGGGAAAGCCCCGGGCUCAACCUGGGAACGGCAUCCGGAACUGUCAGGAUAGAGUGCAGGGGGGGAAGGUAGAAUUCCCGGUGUAGCGGUGAAAGGCGUAGAGAUCGGGAGGAAUACCAGUGGCGAAGGCGGCCUUCUGGACUGACACUGCCGCUGGGGUGCGAAGGCGUGGGUAGCAACAGGAUUAGAUACCCUUGUAGUC
rnacentral:rRNA from 1 species